UACUGCCAUAGCACCAACAUCCGCCUCUGAUGUCGUGGGCCAGCAUAAUAAAAUAGGAAGCGGAGCAGCCCUCUUAAGUGUUGCUAAAAGAAAGUGCAAAUGUGUAAUGUACUUAAUGUUAUCUUCAUUGCUAACAGUGUUUUUUUAUUGAUCAGUUAGUAGCUAUUGUACAUACAGCACAGCACCAUCUCAGAGUGUUUGAAGGAUGCAAGGAAAUUAGAGUUCCAAAACAUUUCCUCAGUGUUAGCAACAGAAGAGGCCACACAGAAGGAUGCAACAUCUGCUGGCCAGAGUUACCAAUUACUCAGCAAGCAUACAGAUGAAGUCAACAUGAACUGGAAGGGGACUCAGAGGGUUUCAUCAAGUUCUCAUCUCUCCGAGAGGGCACCUUGUAUCAGAGAACCACAGAAUGGCUGAGGUUGGCAGGGACCACCUGGCCCAACCCCUGUCCAGGCAGGGACACCCAGAGCAGGGCGCUCAAGACCACAUCCAGGAGUGUUCUGAAGAUCUCUAUGGAGGAGACUUCACAGCCUCUGGGCAACUUGUGCCAGUGCUCUGUCACCUGUGCAGCACAGAAGUGCUGCCUGAUGUUUAGAUCAUAGCUUUGCUUAGUUGUAAGUUCAAGGGAAGAAUAUCUCUUAAGAAGAAAGUAAUUUCCUGUUCUGAUUGGGUAUAAGCAAUGAGUGUCUAGUAUUUCACAGGUGGUUUUCAUUACUUUAACUAUUCCUAACCUUAACCAAUAAAACAAUUUUCUAAUACAGAUUUCUGAUUGAAGAUGCUCAUGCGAGUUGUGUGCAGGGGCUAUUUAUGGAUGUUGACUGACACAUUUAUCAUCAGGAGCCUCACAAUGAGAAGUCAA